AGAGUUUGAUCCCGGCUCAGGGUUAACGCUGGCGGCGUGCCUAACACAUGCAAGUCGAACGGUUCUAAGCGCGAGCUUAGGAUAGUGGCGAACGGGUGAGUAAAAGGUAGGAAUCUACCCCUUGGACGGAGAUAGCUACUGGAAACGGUAGGUAAACUUCGAUAAGCCCGAGAGGGGAAAGUGGUGAGACAGCCGAGGGAUGAGCCUACUCUCCAUCAGGUAGUUGGUGAGAUAAAAGCUUACCAAGCCGAUGACGGAUAACCGGUGUGAGAGCAUGAACGGUCACAAGGGCACUGAGAGACGGGCCCUACUCCUACGGGAGGCAGCAGUGGGGAAUCUUGGACAAUGGGCGAAAGCCUGAUCCAGCGACGCCGCGUGGAGGAAGAAGUCCUUCGGGAUGUAAACUUCUGAACUGGCCGAAUAAAAGGCCUGUGGACACACAGGAGAAGAAAGUAGGCUAGGAAAAGUCCCGGCUAACUACGUGCCAGCAGCCGCGGUAAGACGUAGGGGGCAAGCGUUACCCGGAAUUACUGGGCGUAAAGGGGGCGUAGGCGGUAAAAGAAGUCAUCUGUGAAAACCUAUUGCUCAACGAUAGGCUAGCGGAUGAAACUGAAUUACUUGAGGGCACCAGAGGUAGACGGAAUUACCCGAGUAGGGGUGAAAUCCGCAGAUACGGGUAGGAACGCCGGUGGAGAAGUCGGUCUACUGGGGUGCACCAGACGCUGAGGCCCGAAAGCUAGGGGAGCAAACCGGAUUAGAUACCCGGGUAGUCCUAGCCGUAAACGAUGCUCACUAGGUGUAGGGAGUGAUAAACUCUCUGUGCUGAAGCGAACGCGCUAAGUGAGCCGCCUGGGGAGUACGUCCGCAAGGAUGAAACUCAAAUGAAUUGACGG
rnacentral:rRNA from 1 species